UCCGUAAAAGUAAAGGGAGACUUUUUUUUUAAUCUUUUCUUUUCGUUGUGCCCUAGCUUCAGAUUGAACCCUCGAUUUCAUCACCCAAUUCCUCUCACAAAUCACUUACACCAACUGCUAAUUUCGAAUUCAAAAUCGGCAAUCGGAAUCCCGUCGGAAAGCUUUGCUUCGAUCGGAUGGAAAACACCGACAAUAACGCCCUGAGUAUCCUUUCACGGGAGAAGCUGGACCAGGUCGCCGCCUGGGUCGCGGCCACCAUGUCUUCCGCCUUUUUCUCCUCCUUAGAACGAUUCUCCUGCGUCAACAUUGCCACCAAUGAUCUUGACGACGAAGACGACGACGAUCAGCUUCUCUUGUCCAAUCAACCGCUUUCCGAUCAACUUGUACUCCCUGACCAACAUGACGGACACGAUGUUCACCCUUGCAAUUGUUAGAGUGGGGAAAGAAAAAAAGUUGUUGAUUGUGCAUGUCGAUAACUUUUAUAUACUUAUAGUUUAUUUAGGUGAGUUCGUUCUGUUUUCUCGACUUAUUUGUCAAUUAUUUUAAUAACUUUGCGUGUUGCUUAUAACUUUGAACUAUUAGAAAUGUUGGUUUUUCUAAAAUAUUGAUAGUUUGAUCGUAA